UGCCAUGGGGCUGCCCACUCUGGAGUUCAGUGAUUACUACUUGGACAGCCCGGAUUUUAGGGAGCGCUUGCAGUGUCACCAGAUUGAGCUGGAGCGAACCAACAAGUUCAUCAAGGAGCUCAUUAAGGACGGCUCUCUGCUCACUGGGGCGUUGAGGACAGGUAAUGUUGAUUGCCUGCCCAGUUCCCUUGCCCUUUCAUCCUUUCCAAAGGAACCCUGAGUUCCUUCAGUAACACACCUCUACCCAGGUUGGAGAUCUGUCUAUGGCAGUGCAGAAAUUUUCCCAGUCAUUACAAGAUUUCCAAUUUGAAUGUAUUGGUGAUGUUGAAACAGAUGAUGAAAUUAGUAUUGGUCAGUCACUAAAAUAAUUUGCAAGACUACUCAUUGCAGUAGAAGAAAAGCGAAGACUGACCCAAAACGCUAAUGAUGUAUUAAUUACACCACUUGAGAAACUUCAAAAAGAACAGAUAGGUGCAGCAAAAGGUGAAAAGAAGUUUGACAAAGAGAGUGAAAAAUAUUUCUCUAUCCUUGAAAAGCAUUUAAAUUUAUCUGCAAAGAAAAAGGAGUCUCAUUUGCAAGAGGCAGAUACACAAAUUGAUUGAGCACAUCAGAACUUCUAUGAAGCAUCAUCAGAAUGUCUUUAAAUGGCUCACGCCUGUAAUCCCAGCACUUCGGGAGGCUGAGGCGGGUGGAUCACCUGAGGUCAGGAGUUGGAGACCAGCCUGACCAACAUGGAGAAAUCCCGUCUCUACUAAAAAUACAAAAUUACUGGGCCUGGUGGCACAUGCCUGUAAAGCCAGCUACUCGGGAGGCUGAGGCAGGAGAAUCGCUUGGAUCCAGGAGGCAGAGGUUGCAGUGAGCCGAGACUGCACCAUUGCACUCCAGCCUGGGCAACAAGAGCAAAACUCUGUCUCAAAAUAAAUAAAUAAACAAAUAAAUAAAAAUAAAAGAAAAAAGAAUAUGUCUUUAAAAUUCAAGAGGUUCAAGAAAAACAGAAGUUUGAAUUUGUUGAACUGCUUUUGUCAUUUCCUCAGGAUUUAUUUACUUUUUUACCCCGAGGGAUAUGAACUUGCCCAGGAAUUUGCACCGAAUAAGCAACAGCUGCAGUUCGACUUGCAGAAUACAAGGAAUAAUUUUGAAAGUACUUGACAAGAGGUAGAGGGGUUGACGCAAAGGGUGAAAUCUGCAAGGCUAUCUGCAUGUCCAGGAGAAAUGACCACUUGGUUUUACAUGGAUUAAACAGCCUUGUUACUAGCUCACCGGAAAUGUUCAAAAUCUUGUAUCCGACGAAAGACAGAUUCAAUUGACAAACAAUUCUGCUUCGACAUACAAGUAGUUGAAAGCCAUGGGAUCAUCACAUUACAGGCCUUCUCAGAAGCUAAUAGGAAACUCUGGCUUGAAGCCACGGAUGGGAAGGAACCGAUUUAUACUCUGCCUGACAUUAUAAGCAAGAAAGAAGAAAUGUAUUUGAACGAAGCAGGGUUCAAUUUUGUGAGAAACUGCAUUCAAGCUGUGGAAACCAGUGGUAUCACCAUUUAAGGCCUCUACUGAAUAGGAGGAGUGAACUCCAAAGUUCAAAAACUCGUGAAUAUCAUAUUUUCUCCUAAAUCCCCUCCUGAUAUUGAUAUUGAACUGUGGGACAAUAAGACAAUAAUGAGUGGGCUGAAAAACUACCUCAGGUGCUUUGCAGCACCACUGAUAACUUACAAGUUACACAAAGAUUUGUAUCAUUGCUGUUAAAUCUGAUGACCAAAACUACAGGGUGGAGGCUGUACAUGCAUUGGUGUGCACAUUGCCAGAGAAAAACAGAGAGAUGCUGGACAUCUUAAUAAAACAUCUGGUCAAAGUAUCACUGCACAGCCAACAAAAUCUCAUGACUGUCUAAAAUCUUGGUGUCAUAUUUGGCCCAACUCUAAUGAGAGCACAAGAAUAAACUGUGGCUGCUAUGGUGAAUAUUAAAUUUCAGAAUAUUGUGUAGAAAUUCUGAUAGAGCACAGUGAAACGGUUUUUCAUACUGCUCCAGACCCAAGCAUUCCUCUUCCUCAGCCUCAGUCUCGAUCUGGAUCCCAAAGGACAACCUCAGUCUCGAUCUGGAUCCCAAAGGACAUGAGCAAUCUGCCUCUCUACAGGCUCUAGGAAGCCCAGAGGGAUGUGUACUCCAUGCCUGGCUGAACUUGAUAGUGAUUCCUAUAGCAGCAGCACAGACAGCACCCCCAUGGGGAGCAUCAAGUCACUCUCUUCUCUUUCCUCACAACAAAAUAGCACUACAAAGUCAGCUUUCUGCCAGCCCAGGGAGAAAUCUGGAGGGAUUCCUUGGAUUGCAACCCAAUCUUCCAAUGGACAGAAAAGCCUUGGUCUCUGGACAACUAAUCCUGAAUCAAGUUCUAGAGAAGAUGCAAUCAAGACAGAUGCAGAAUCAGAUUGCCAGAGUGUUGCUUCGGUCACUAGCCCAGGGGAUGUUUCCCCACCCAUAGACCUAGUCAAGAAAGGGCCUUAUGGGCUUUCAGGACUGAAAAGAGCUUCUGCUUCUUCUCUCAGAUCCAUUUCUGCAGCUGAAGGAAACAUUAGCUACAGUGGAUCUAUUCAAAGCUUAACUUCUGUAGGUUCCAAGGAGACACCCAAAGCUUCAAACCCAGACCUGCCUCCAAAAAUGUGCAGGAGGUGAAGACUAGACACCACCUCAAGCAAUGGCUAUCAGCGUCCUGGCUCAGUAGUGGCAGCAAAAGCUCAACUGUUUGAAAAUGUUGGUUCACCUAAGCCAGUUUCUUCUGGGCACCAAGCCAAAGCCAUGUACUCCUAUAAAGGAGAGCACAGCGUGAGCUUUCCUUCCCACAAAGAGCGAUAUUUUCCAGUGUGGACCCAUCAGUGGAACCAGGAUGGUUAAAGGCAGCUUAUGAAGGCAAAACGGGACUAGUUGCAGAAAAUUAUGUUGUCUU
rnacentral:lncRNA from 1 species